GGUUGGGAUAGCUCAGUUGGUAGAG
rnacentral:tRNA from 1 species